rnacentral:lncRNA from 1 species
CAAGUGUUUCAUGUGGAUGUUGCAAAGUAGAUCUAGAUGUUGCAUAUGUUUCACACAUGUUUUAUCUGGAUGUUGCAUUUUCAAUAAAAGAUUUGAAUGUUCCAUGCAACACGAAACAGAUGUUGUGGCGGGUUUUUUUCCUCAUUAUCAACGGAUAGCCCCCCGACUGCCAUGUUAUAAUAGGUAUAUCACGAUGUUGCAGUAGGGAUUGUUGGAUGUUGCAAGCGCUAUAGAUGUGCACGGGUGUUGCGGAU